rnacentral:RNase_P_RNA from 1 species
AGAUGGCCAGACAAUCGCGCUUGCAAAAGUGAGGAAAGUCCGGGCUCCAAAGGGUAAGGUGCCAGGUAACGCCUGGGGGACGUAAGUCCACGGCCAGUGCAACAGAGAGUAAACCGCCUGAAUGUAAGUUCAGGUAAGGGUGAAAGGGUGCGGUA